ACGCGAAGAGCGUCACUCACCAUUGACAUGUGUGAUCCUGAGAGAUUGCGAGUGCUCGACAGAGAGCCAUAACACAGGUGCUGCAUGGCUGUCGUCAGCUCGUGUCGUGAGAUGUUGGGUUAAGUCCCGCAACGAGCGCAACCCUUGCCAUUAGUUGCUACGAAAGGGCACUCUAAUGGGACUGCCGGUGACAAACCGGAGGAAGGUGGGGAUGACGUCAAGUCCUCAUGGCCCUUAUAGGUGGGGCUACACACGUCAUACAAUGGCUGGUACAGAGGGUUGCCAACCCGCGAGGGGGAGCCAAUCCCAUAAAGCCAGUCGUAGUCCGGAUCGCAGUCUGCAACUCGACUGCGUGAAGUCGGAAUCGCUAGUAAUCGCGGAUCAGAAUGUCGCGGUGAAUACGUUCCCGGGUCUUGUACACACGC
rnacentral:rRNA from 1 species